CCUACGGGAGGCAGCAGUGGGGAAUAUUGCACAAUGGGGGAAACCCUGAUGCAGCGACGCCGCGUGAAGGAAGAAGGUUUUCGGAUCGUAAACUUCUAUCAGCAGGGAAGAAGAAAGUGACAGUACCUGACUAAGAAGCCCCGGCUAACUACGUGACAGCAGCCGCGGAAAUACGUAGGGGGCAAGCGUUAUGCGGAAUCACUGGGUGGAAAGGGACCGUAGGCGGUAGGGCAAGUCAGAUGUGAAAGCCCGGGGCUCAACGCCGGGACUGCAUUUGAAGCUGUCUUGCUAGAGUACAGGAGAGGAAAACGGAAUACCUAGUGUAGCGGUGAAAUGCGUAGAUAUUAGGAGGAACACCAGUGACGAAGGGGGCUCUCUGGACGUUAACUGACGCUGAGGCACGAAAGCGUGGGGAGCGAACAGGAUUAGAUACCCCUGUAGUC
rnacentral:rRNA from 1 species